UCCAGACUCCUACGGGAGGCAGCAGUGGGGGAUAUUGCACAAUGGAGGGAACUCUGAUGCAGCGACGCCGCGUGAAGGAAGAAGGCUUUCGGGUUGUAAACUUCUUUUCUCGGGGACGAAGAAAGUGACGGUACCUGAGGAAUAAGCCACGGCUAACUACGUGCCAGCAGCCGCGGUAAUACGUAGGUGGCAAGCGUUAUCCGGAUUUAUUGGGUGUAAAGGGCGUGUAGGCGGGAGCGCAAGUCAGAUGUGAAAACUCAGGGCUCAACCCUGAGCCUGCAUUUGAAACUGUGUUUCUUGAGUGCUGGAGAGGCAAUCGGAAUUCCGUGUGCAGCGGUGAAAUGCGUAGAUAUACGGAGGAACACCAGUGGCGAAGGCGGAUUGCUGGACAGUAACUGACGCUGAGGCGCGAAAGCUAGGGGAGCGAACAGGAUUAGAUACCCCAGUAU
rnacentral:rRNA from 1 species